GACGAACGCUGGCGGCGUGCUUAACACAUGCAAGUCGAACGGAAAGGCCCUGCUUGCAGGGUACUUGAGUGGCGAACGGGUGAGUAACACGUGGGUGAUCUGCCCUGCACUUCGGGAUAAGCCUGGGAAACUGGGUCUAAUACCGGAUAGGAGCCAUUUUUAGUGUGAUGGUUGGAAAGUUUUUUCGGUGUAGGAUGAGCUCGCGGCCUAUCAGCUUGUUGGUGGGGUAAUGGCCUACCAAGGCGGCGACGGGUAGCCGGCCUGAGAGGGUGGACGGCCACAUUGGGACUGAGAUACGGCGCAGACUCCUACGGGAGGCAGCAGUGGGGAAUAUUGCACAAUGGGCGCAAGCCUGAUGCAGCGACGCCGCGUGGGGGAUGACGGCCUUCGGGUUGUAAACUCCUUUCGCUAGGGACGAAGCUUUUUGUGACGGUACCUAGAUAAGAAGCACCGGCUAACUACGUG
rnacentral:rRNA from 1 species